CUACGGGGCGCUGCAGUGGGGAAUAUUGGGCAAUGGGCGAAAGCCUGACCCAGCAACGCCGCGUGAAGGAAGAAGGUUUUCGGAUCGUAAACUUCUAUCCCAGGUGAAGAUAAUGACGGUAGCCUGGAAGGAAGCCCCGGCUAACUACGUGCCAGCAGCCGCGGUAAUACGUAGGGGGCAAGCGUUGUCCGGAAUGAUUGGGCGUAAAGGGCGCGUAGGCGGCCUUCUAAGUCCGAUGUGAAAGACCUGCUUUUAAGGUGGGAAUUGCAUUGGAAACUGGAGGGCUUGAGUGCAGGAGAGGUAAGUGGAAUUCCCGGUGUAGCGGUGAAAUGCGUAGAGAUCGGGAGGAACACCAGUGGCGAGGGCGACUUACUGGACUGUAACUGACGCUGAGGCGCGAAAGUGUGGGGAGCAAACAGGAUUAGAUACCCCGGUAGUC
rnacentral:rRNA from 1 species